AUUACAUCCAUCCAAUAAGCAGAAGGAAGCCUACGGUUAUCAGUGAAGGUCUGUCCCGGAUUCUGGAAGACUAGUUCUAAAGAUUGACACUAUGAGUGGCUAUUCUCAUAUAUUUUGUGAGGCCACAUGGAUCCUAGAUCAUUGGGUAGUAGUAUAUGAGUUGUGAAAAAACUUCUGUGGUCAAAUUGCUAUUUCCGGUUCCAUACCCAUGGUUUGAGUUGAUUAGGAGCAAUUACCAGCACAGAAUAUUCUCCACAGAGCUCCGGAGAGAACAU
rnacentral:lncRNA from 1 species